rnacentral:rRNA from 1 species
UACGUAGGGGGCAAGCGUUGUCCGGAAUUAUUGGGCGUAAAGAGCGUGUAGGCGGUCCGGUAAGUCAGCUGUGAAAGUCAAGGGCUCAACCCUUGAAAGCCGGUUGAUACUGUCGGGCUAGAGGCCGGAAGAGGCGAGUGGAAUUCCCGGUGUAGCGGUGAAAUGCGCAGAUAUCGGGAGGAACACCAAUGGCGAAGGCAGCUCGCUGGGACGGUACUGACGCUGAGACGCGAAAGCGUGGGGAGCAAACAGG